CGUUCUAUGGCCGAAUUGGUAAAGGCAUCGCCGAUCACAGGCAAGGUUGCGGGUUCGUGUCCCGCUGGAACUA
rnacentral:tRNA from 1 species